GAUGGAGGAUGCAAGCGUUAUCCGGAAUGAUUGGGCGUAAAGCGUCCGCAGGUGGCAGUUCAAGUCUGCUGUCAAAGACCGGGGCUUAACUUCGGAAAGGCAGUGGAAACUGAACAGCUAGAGUAUGGUAGGGGCAGAGGGAAUUCCUGGUGUAGCGGUGAAAUGCGUAGAGAUCAGGAAGAACAUCGGUGGCGAAGGCGCUCUGCUGGACCAUAACUGACACUCAGGGACGAAAGCUAGGGGAGCGAAUGGG
rnacentral:rRNA from 1 species